GUGCCAGCAGCCGCGGCAACACGUAGGUGGCGAGCGUUAUUCGGAAUCACUGGGCGUAAAGGGUCCGCAGGGGGUCUGCCAAGUCCGGUGCGGAAGCCCGCGGCUCAACCGCGGAAGUGCACUGGAAACUGGCGGACUUGAGUACAGGAGAGGAGAGCGGAAUUCCCGGUGUAGCGGUGGAGUGCGUAGAUAUCGGGAGGAACACCGACGGCGAAGGCAGCUCUCUGGCCUGUCACUGACCCUCAGGGACGAAAGCGUGGGCAGCAAACAGGAUUAGAUACCCCAGUAGUCC
rnacentral:rRNA from 1 species